AACAAUGGACACUCCGAAAACGGUUAACAUUUUGAUUCAACGUUUCGACUAACUUGCAGUCAUCAUCAGGAAAUUCCUGGAUGAUGACUGCAAGUUAGUCGAAAUGUUGAAUCAAAAUAUUAACCGUUUUCGGAGUGUCCAUUGUU